ensembl:lncRNA
CCGGGAGGAGCCUAGGUGUGCUCAGUGGAAUCAGGGCUGGACCAGGGCACUCCAGCCAGGACCUCAGGGGGGGGGUACAGGACAGGCUGUGAGGCCUGCCAGCCUGAGAGGGAUGGAAAGGAGGAGACCCUUCUCAUCAAGGAGAUGAGCAUGGCCGGAGAUGCCGGGCCAACAACAUUCAGGUUACUGCUGUCCGGCUCGCUGGGAUCCACUGCCCCUCAUUCCUACACUCGGCCCUGCGCCGGGCACACAGCAUCCUCCCAGCCACCCUCAUAAGUGAGCGAUAUUGUUAUCCUUGUUUCACGGAUGACAAAAUUGACUCCCAAAGGGCCUCGGGAUGGCUGGGCGGCCUGCCCGCUGGUGCCACUCUGCCCAUCAGGGUGCCCUCUCCCAUCACACCCACCUGAGGGUCUGUCUUGCAGCCGUGGUCUGGAGGGCAGCUCGGCUGUCAUCUGCGCUCUGGAGUUGAUGUCUUGCUCAAGCCUCAGAAACGUGUCAGCGUGUGGAAGAGCCUGUCAGUCAUCAUUCUAUUUCCCAGCCUCCCCGCUCUCUCUAGCCGCACUGCCCAGUACCCAGCAGCAUCAAGGGCUGAAGGCCGUGCCUCCUGAAACAGUGGUCCAAUUGCUUCGCAGCGUGGUUAUAGCCUUUGCUACCCCCAUUAGCAGCAUGAGGGGGAAAAUAAAAUUCAAAGCCCAAAU